AGUGAACGCUGGCGGUAGGCCUAACACAUGCAAGUCGAACGGCAGCACAGUAAGAGCUUGCUCUUACGGGUGGCGAGUGGCGGACGGGUGAGGAAUACAUCGGAAUCUACUUUUCGUGGGGGGUAAAGUAGGGAAACUUACGCUAAUACCGCAUACGACCUUCGGGUGAAAGCCGGGGAUCUUCGGACCUUUCGCGGUUUAAUGAGGCGAUGUCGGAUUAGCUAGUUGGCGGGGUAAAGGCCCACCAAGGCGACGAUCCGUAGCUGGUCUGAGAGGAUGAUCAGCCACACUGGAACUGAGACACGGUCCAGACUCCUACGGGAGGCAGCAGUGGGGAAUAUUGGACAAUGGGCGCAAGCCUGAUCCAGCCAUACCGCGUGGGUGAAGAAGGCCUUCGGGUUGUAAAGCCCUUUUGUUGGGAAAGAAAAGCAGCAGGUUAAUACCCCGCUGUUCUGACGGUACCCAAAGAAUAAGCACCGGCUAACUUCGUG
rnacentral:rRNA from 1 species